rnacentral:tRNA from 1 species
ACCUUCGUGAUGUAAUGGUCAACACGCUGGGCGCAUAUCCAGAGACCCGUGGUUCAAGUCCCGGCUAAAGUG